CUCAUAGCGUAUAUUUAAGUUGUUGCAGUUAAAAAGCUCGUAGUUGGAUUUCGGGCCCAGGCGGCCGGUCCGCCGUUUCGGUGUGCACUGGUCGGCUCGGUCUUUCUGCCGGGGACGCGCUCCGUCUUGACUGCCGGACGCGGAGUCGGCGACGUUACUUUGAAAAAAUUAGAGUGUUCAAAGCAGGCUUACGCUCUGAAUACUAUAGCAUGGAAUAACACGAUAGGACUCCGAGCCUAUUUUGUUGGUCUUCGGGACCGGAGUAAUGAUUAAGAGGGACAGUUGGGGGCAUUCGUAUUACGGUGUCAGAGGUGAAAUUCUUGGAUUUCCGUAAGACGAACUUCUGCGAAAGCAUUUGCCAAGGAUGUUUUCAUUAAUCAAGAACGAAAGUUGGGGGCUCGAAGAUGAUCAGAUACCGUCGUAGUCUCAACCAUAAACGAUGCCGACUAGGGAUUGGAGGAUGUUAAUUCGAUGACUUCUCCAGCACCUUAAGAGAAAUCAAAGUUUUUGGGUUCCGGGGGGAGUAUGGUCGCAAGGCUGAAACUUAAAGGAAUUGACGGAAGGGCACCACCAGGCGUGGAGCCUGCGGCUUAAUUUGACUCAACACGGGGAAACUUACCAGGUCCAGACAUAGUAAGGAUUGACAGAUUGAGAGCUCUUUCUUGAUUCUAUGGGUGGUGGUGCAUGGCCGUUCU
rnacentral:rRNA from 1 species